rnacentral:sRNA from 21 species
AAAAACAGAUUUGAUCUUAUCGUUCCUUAAAAAAUUCUGCGUGACAUAUUUUACAAAAAAAACUUAUAUUUUAUUUCGCUCAUAGAAAAGUGAAUUAAAUCUACAAGCUGUGGAAAAACCUGUUGAAAAAGCCUCAAAAAGUGGAUAACUCUUUGGGAUCAAGGUAAAAACUGGGUUUUAAUGCUUAUUUUCUAAGUAUUAAUACUUCAUCAAUAAAUUAUUAAAUAUAGUUUAAUAAUCAAUUAAACUAACUGAAAUAACAAUG